rnacentral:rRNA from 1 species
AUUGAACGCUGGCGGCAUGCCUUACACAUGCAAGUCGGACGGCAGCACAGAGAAGUUUGCUUCUUGGGUGGAGAGGGGCGCACGGGUGUGAAAUAUAGCUGAACGUACCGAAUAACGGGGGAUAACUCAUCGAAAGAGAAGCUAUACCCGCAUAUAUUCUGAGGAGGAAAGCAGGGGACUUAAAGGCGGUUUGUUAUUCGAGCAGACGUUGUCUGAUUAGCUAGUUGGUGGGGUAAAGGCCUACCAAGGCGACGAUCAGUAGCGGGUCUGAGAGGAUGAUCCGCCACACUGGAACUGAGACACGGCCCAGACUCCUACGGGAGGCAGCAGUGGGGAAUUUUGGACAAUGGGCGCAAGCCUGAUCCAGCCAUGCCGCGUGUCUGAAGAAGGCCUUCGGGUUGUAAAGGACUUUUGUCAGGGAAGAAAAGGCUGUUGCUAAUAUCGACAGCUGAUGACGGUACCUGAAGAAUAAGCACCGGCUAACUACGUG